UACGUAGGGGGCGAGCGUUGUCCGGAGUUACUGGGCGUAAAGGGCAUGCAGGCGGUCUGGCGCGUUUUGUGUGACAGCGGGGGGCUCAACUCCCCGAGCAUGCGAAAGACGGUUGGACUUGGGGGCUCGAGAGGGACACGGAAUUCCGGGUGGAGUGGUGAAAUGCGUAGAGAUCCGGAGGAACACCGAAGGCGAAGGCAGUGUCCUGGCGAGUGACUGACGCUGAGGUGCGAAAGCGUGGGGAGCGAACAGG
rnacentral:rRNA from 1 species